GACGGACGCUGGCGGCGUGCUUAACACAUGCAAGUCGAACGGAAAGGCCCUGCUUUUGUGGGGUGCUCGAGUGGCGAACGGGUGAGUAACACGUGAGUAACCUGCCCUUGACUUUGGGAUAACUUCAGGAAACUGGGGCUAAUACCGGAUAGGAGCUCCUGCUGCAUGGUGGGGGUUGGAAAGUUUCGGCGGUUGGGGAUGGACUCGCGGCUUAUCAGCUUGUUGGUGGGGUAGUGGCUUACCAAGGCUUUGACGGGUAGCCGGCCUGAGAGGGUGACCGGCCACAUUGGGACUGAGAUACGGCCCAGACUCCUACGGGAGGCAGCAGUGGGGAAUAUUGCACAAUGGGCGGAAGCCUGAUGCAGCAACGCCGCGUGCGGGAUGACGGCCUUCGGGUUGUAAACCGCUUUCGCCUGUGACGAAGCGUGAGUGACGGUAAUGGGUAAAGAAGCACCGGCUAACUACG
rnacentral:rRNA from 1 species